AUGAACACUUUGGGGGACCUCCAACCCCCUGGGGGGUCCCUGACUCUCCUCUGCCGUGGAUCUGGGUUCAAUUUUGGGAGCCACGCCAUUUUCUGGAUGCGCCAGAAACCCGGGAAGACUCUGGAAUCGCUUGCAGCCAUCAAGAGCGAUGACAGCACCUCCUACGCAGAGUCCGUCAAGGGCCGGUUCACGAUCUCCAGGGACAACGGGCAGAGCUCGGUGACGCUGACCAUGAACAGCCUCAAGGACGAGGAUUCCGCCGUUUAUUUCUGUGCCAGAUGUGAUGAUGGCACUUGUGGUUCUGAUGCUGUUGCUUGGAUUGGUGAUGCAGGUUUUGGUUCAAGCCCCUACUUCUUUACCCGCAAAUAUCCCAUAAUUCCGUCAUUACUCCUGCAAAUGUCAAUCCUUCCCCUCAAAUUUUGA